GGGCCAUAGCUCAGUGGCAGAGCAUCUGCUUCUCAUGUGCACAAAGUCACAGGUUCAAUUCCUGCCAUCUCCA